UACGUAGGGGGCAAGCGUUGUCCGGAAUCAUUGGGCGUAGAGGGUGCGUAGGCGGGUCUUUAAGUCAGGGGUGAAAUCCUGGAGCUCAACUCCAGAACUGCCUUUGAUACUGAGGAUCUUGAGUUCGGGAGAGGUGAGUGGAACUGCGAGUGUAGAGGUGAAAUUCGUAGAUAUUCGCAAGAACACCAGUGGCGAAGGCGGCUCACUGGCCCGAUACUGACGCUGAGGCACGAAAGCGUGGGGAGCAAACAGG
rnacentral:rRNA from 1 species